rnacentral:rRNA from 1 species
UAGGGAAUCUUCGGCAAUGGACGGAAGUCUGACCGAGCAACGCCGCGUGAGUGAAGAAGGUUUUCGGAUCGUAAAGCUCUGCUGUAAGAGAAGAACGAGUGUGAGAGUGGAAAGUUCACACUGUGACGGUAGCUUACCAGAAAGGGACGGCUAACUACGUGCCAGCAGCCGCGGUAAUACGUAGGUCCCGAGCGUUGUCCGGAUUUAUUGGGCGUAAAGCGAGCGCAGGCGGUUUGAUAAGUCUGAAGUUAAAGGCUGUGGCUCAACCAUAGUUCGCUUUGGAAACUGUCAAACUUGAGUGCAGAAGGGGAGAGUGGAAUUCCAUGUGUAGCGGUGAAAUGCGUAGAUAUAUGGAGGAACACCAGUGGCGAAAGCGGCUCUCUGGCUUGUAACUGACGCUGAGGCUCGAAAGCGUGGGGAGCAAACAGGAUUAGAUACCCUGGUAGUCCACGCCGUAAACGAUGAGUGCUAGGUGUUAGACCCUUUCCGGGGUUUAGUGCCGUAGCUAACGCAUUAAGCACUCCGCCUGGGGAGUACGNGGNGCAAGGUUG